rnacentral:rRNA from 1 species
AGAGUUUGAUCCUGGCUCAGAUUGAACGCUGGCGGCAUGCCUUACACAUGCAAGUCGAACGGCAGCACGGGGGCAACCCUGGUGGCGAGUGGCGAACGGGUGAGUAAUAUAUCGGAACGUACCCAGUAGUGGGGGAUAACUAUCCGAAAGGAUAGCUAAUACCGCAUACGAUCUGUGGAUGAAAGCAGGGGAUCUUCGGACCUUGUGCUAUUGGAAUGGCCGAUAUCUGAUUAGCUAGUUGGUAGGGUAAAAGCCUACCAAGGCGACGAUCAGUAGCUGGUCUGAGAGGACGACCAGCCACACUGGAACUGAGACACGGUCCAGACUCCUACGGGAGGCAGCAGUGGGGAAUUUUGGACAAUGGGGGCAACCCUGAUCCAGCAAUGCCGCGUGAGUGAAGAAGGCCCUCGGGUUGUAAA